rnacentral:rRNA from 1 species
UAGGGAAUCUUCCACAGUGGGCGCAAGCCUGAUGGAGCAACGCCGCGUGAGUGAAGAAGGUCUUCGGAUCGUAAAACUCUGUUGUUAGAGAAGAACAUGCAGGAGAGUAACUGUUCUUGUAUUGACGGUAUCUAACCAGAAAGCCACGGCUAACUACGUGCCAG